AGUGCGACCGGGUCGACGGCGCGCGUGAGCACCAGGUAGUCGCGCAGCACGAUGGCCUGGCGAUUCUC
rnacentral:sRNA from 1 species